rnacentral:rRNA from 1 species
UACAGAGGUCUCAAGCGUUGUUCGGAUUCAUUGGGCGUAAAGGGUGCGUAGGCGGCGCGGUAAGUCGGGUGUGAAAUCUCGGAGCUUAACUCCGAAACUGCAUUCGAUACUGCCGUGCUUGAGGACUGGAGAGGAGACUGGAAUUUACGGUGUAGAGGUGAAAUUCGUAGAUAUUCGCAAGAACACCAGUGGCGAAAGGCGGCUCACUGGCCCGUAACUGACGCUGAGGCACGAAAGCGUGGGGAGCAAACAGG